rnacentral:tRNA from 1 species
GGAGCCGUGCCUGAAUAAAGGAUCACUUUGAUAGGGUGAAUCAUGAGGGUUAAAACCCCUCCGACUCCU